CACGCAGGCGGUUUGUUAAGUCAGAUGUGAAAUCCCCGGGCUCAACCUGGGAACUGCAUCUGAUACUGGCAAGCUUGAGUCUCGUAGAGGGGGGUAGAAUUCCAGGUGUAGCGGUGAAAUGCGCAGAUAUCAGGAGGAACACCGAUGGCGAAGGCAGGUCUCUGGGCCACUACUGACGCUGAGAAGCGAAAGCAUGGGGAGCGAACA
rnacentral:rRNA from 1 species